AUUUAUCAGCCGACGGUUGACAGGCAAAAUAAUGAAGUUGCCGCGGUGUGCGAAAGCUGGAUACCCCCCGUUUGUCAGUUUUCUGGCCGCGGCGGAGAAGUGACCGUUUUCCCUGAUCGCUGGCUGUAUCUGCAUAUUUAAAUCGGCCGCGUAUCGACGCCCGGUGCAAUUCGCUUUUUCGAAAACGUCCAUUACGCGACGUUACACGGCAUCGACAGUAUGCGUGCAUAAAUUUUCUUCGAGGGACUAACCGGAGAGAGGCGAGUCGCUAUAGGAUGGCUAUGGAUCGUUUUUGAUUGUUUUGAAUGACCGGCGCUUUUUGGAACAGACAGCGUUGAUCCGGCCAAAUGAUGUUCCCUUGUUUACAAAUUUUUCAAAUUUGUUUUUUGGGAAUUUUUAUUGGAGAAAUUUACAAUGGAGCAAAACUAAUAGAGAUCCUAAAAAAAGGAUUGCUGGAAGUGCUGGCCAGCUGAACGACUGGCCUGGGUGCAGUGGGUGCUGAUACGCUUCUUGUGAUGCUUGGCCCAGGUUCUUGGGUCCUGGGUCCAGGGGUGGCCAAGGAUAUCGUUGCUGUGGUUGUGAUU